UUGAACCGGCAAUUAUUCAAUCUUUCCCGGCUUUAAAACGCCAAAGUCUGACGAGCUAGAUAAAGUGUUGUCUCCUUUUGAAAACAAACAAUUCAUUCUGACCUCAGUUUAGAUGAGACUACCCGCUGAACUUAAGCAUAUCAGUAAGCGGAGGAAAAGAAACUAACAAGGAUUCCCUUAGUAGCGGCGAGCGAACAGGGAUGAGCCCAGCACCGAACCUCGCGCCCGGUUGAGCGGGUGCCGAGGAAUGUGGUGUUCGGGAGGAUCGUGCGCGUCUGUCCGGUAUCUAUCGUCCAAGUCUCCAUGAACGGGGCGAGCAACCCACAGAGGGUGUCAGGCCCGUAGAUAAGACGAGCCGAGACCGUGCAUCGGAUCCCUUCCCAAGAGUCGGGUUGCUUGAGCGUGCAGCCCUAAGCGGGAGGUAAACUCCUUCUAAGGCUAAAUAUCGCCACGAGACCGAUAGCGAACAAGUACCGCGAGGGAAAGUUGAAAAGAACUUUGAAGAGAGAGUUCAAGAGUGCGUGAAA
rnacentral:ncRNA from 1 species